UACGUAGGGCGCAAGCGUUGUCCGGAAUUAUUGGGCGUAAAGAGCUCGUAGGCGGCUUGUCACGUCGGGUGUGAAAGCCCGGGGCUUAACCCCGGGUCUGCAUUCGAUACGGGCAAGCUAGAGUGUGGUAGGGGAGAUCGGAAUUCCUGGUGUAGCGGUGAAAUGCGCAGAUAUCAGGAGGAACACCGGUGGCGAAGGCGGAUCUCUGGGCCAUUACUGACGCUGAGGAGCGAAAGCGUGGGGAGCGAACAGG
rnacentral:rRNA from 1 species